AGAGUUUGAUCCUGGCUCAGGAUGAACGCUGGCGGCGUGCUUAACACAUGCAAGUCGAACGCACCUUCGGGUGAGUGGCGGACGGGUGAGUAACGCGUGGGAAUCUGCCCUCAGGAGGGGGAUAACGGCUGGAAACGGCCGCUAAUACCCCAUAUGCCGAGAGGUGAAACGAAUUUCGCCUGAGGAUGAGCCCGCGUCUGAUUAGCUAGUUGGUGGGGUAAUGGCCCACCAAGGCGACGAUCAGUAGCUGGUCUGAGAGGAUGAUCAGCCACACUGGGACUGAGACACGGCCCAGACUCCUACGGGAGGCAGCAGUGGGGAAUUUUCCGCAAUGGGCGAAAGCCUGACGGAGCAACGCCGCGUGAGGGAUGAAGGCCUCUGGGCUGUAAACCUCUUUUCUCAAGGAAGAAGACAUGACGGUACUUGAGGAAUAAGCCACGGCUAAUUCCGUGCCAGCAGCCGCGGUAAUACGGGAGUGGCAAGCGUUAUCCGGAAUUAUUGGGCGUAAAGCGUCCGCAGGCGGCCCUGUAAGUCUGUCGUUAAAGCGUGGAGCUUAACUCCAUUUAAGCGAUGGAAACUACAGGGCUUGAGUGUGGUAGGGGCAGAGGGAAUUCCCGGUGUAGCGGUGAAAUGCGUAGAUAUCGGGAAGAACACCAGUGGCGAAGGCGCUCUGCUGGGCCAUAACUGACGCUCAUGGACGAAAGCCAGGGGAGCGAAAGGGAUUAGAUACCCCUGUAGUCCUGGCCGUAAACGAUGAACACUAGGUGUCGGGGGAAUCGACCCCCUCGGUGUCGUAGCCAACGCGUUAAGUGUUCCGCCUGGGGAGUACGCACGCAAGUGUGAAACUCAAAGGAAUUGACGGGGGCCCGCACAAGCGGUGGAGUAUGUGGUUUAAUUCGAUGCAACGCGAAGAACCUUACCAGGGUUUGACAUCCUGCGAAUCCCUUGGAAACUAGGGAGUGCCUUCGGGAGCGCAGAGACAGGUGGUGCAUGGCUGUCGUCAGCUCGUGUCGUGAGAUGUUGGGUUAAGUCCCGCAACGAGCGCAACCCACGUCUUUAGUUGCCAGCAUUCAGUUGGGCACUCUAGAGAGACCGCCGGUGAUAAACCGGAGGAAGGUGUGGAUGACGUCAAGUCAUCAUGCCCCUUACAUCCUGGGCUACACACGUACUACAAUGCUACGGACAAAGGGCAGCAAGCUCGCGAGAGUUAGCAAAUCCCAUAAACCGUGGCUCAGUUCAGAUCGUAGGCUGCAACUCGCCUACGUGAAGGAGGAAUCGCUAGUAAUCGCAGGUCAGCAUACUGCGGUGAAUACGUUCCCGGGCCUUGUCC
rnacentral:rRNA from 1 species